GAUGAACGCUGGCGGCGUGCCUAAUACAUGCAAGUCGAGCGAACAGACGAGGAGCUUGCUCCUCUGACGUUAGCGGCGGACGGGUGAGUAACACGUGGAUAACCUACCUAUAAGACUGGGAUAACUUCGGGAAACCGGAGCUAAUACCGGAUAAUAUAUUGAACCGCAUGGUUCAAUAGUGAAAGACGGUUUUGCUGUCACUUAUAGAUGGAUCCGCGCCGCAUUAGCUAGUUGGUAAGGUAACGGCUUACCAAGGCAACGAUGCGUAGCCGACCUGAGAGGGGGACCGGCCACACUGGAACUGAGACACGGUCCAGACUCCUACGGGAGGCAGCAGUAGGGAAUCUUCCGCAAUGGGCGAAAGCUUGACGGAGCAACGCCGCGUGAGUGAUGAAGGUCUUCGGAUCGUAAAACUCUGUUAUUAGGGAAGAACAAAUGUGUAAGUAACUAUGCACGUCUUGACGGUACCUAAUCAGAAAGCCACGGCUAACUACGUG
rnacentral:rRNA from 1 species